UACGGAGGGUGCAAGCGUUGCUCGGAAUUAUUGGGCGUAAAGGGCAGGUAGGUGGUCUUAUUUGUCCGGGGUGAAAUCCUUGAGCUUAACUCAAGAAGUGCCCCGGAGACGGUGAGACUAGAGUUUUGGAGAGGGUCGUGGAAUUCCCGGCGUAGCGGUGAAAUGCGUAGAUAUCUGAAGGAACAUCAGUGGCGAAAGCGACUUCCUGGACCAAUACUGACGCUCAUGUGCGAAAGCGUGGGGAGCAAACAGG
rnacentral:rRNA from 1 species